rnacentral:rRNA from 1 species
GAUGAACGCUGGCGGCGUGCUUAACACAUGCAAGUCGAACGAAGAUGCCGGAGUGCUUGCACUUUGGCAGACUGAGUGGCGGACGGGUGAGUAACGCGUGGGUAACCUGCCUUAUACAGGGGGAUAACAGUUGGAAACGACUGCUAAUACCGCAUAAGCGCACGGUAUCGCAUGAUACAGUGUGAAAAACUCCGGUGGUAUAAGAUGGACCCGCGUCUGAUUAGCUUGUUGGUGAGGUAACGGCCCACCAAGGCGACGAUCAGUAGCCGGCCUGAGAGGGUGAACGGCCACAUUGGGACUGAGACACGGCCCAAAACUCCUACGGGAGGCAGCAGUGGGGAAUAUUGCACAAUGGGGGAAACCCUGAUGCAGCGACGCCGCGUGAGUGAUGAAGUAUUUCGGUAUGUAAAACUCUAUCAGCAGGGAAGAUAAUGAGGUACCUGACUAAGAAGCACCGGCUAAAUACGUGCCAGCAGCC